UACAGAGGGGGCAAGCGUUGUUCGGAAUUACUGGGCGUAAAGGGCGCGUAGGCGGCCUUCUAAGUCGAACGUGAAAUCCCCGGGCUCAACCCGGGAACUGCGUCCGAUACUGGAGGGCUUGAAUCCGGGAGAGGGAUGUGGAAUUCCAGGUGUAGCGGUGAAAUGCGUAUAUAUCUGGAGGAACACCGGUGGCGAAGGCGACAUCCUGGACCGGUAUUGACGCUGAGGCGCGAAAGCCAGGGGAGCAAACGGG
rnacentral:rRNA from 1 species